CCUACGGGAGGCAGCAGUAAGGAAUAUUGGUCAAUGGACGCAAGUCUGAACCAGCCAUGCCGCGUGAAGGAUUAAGGCCCUCUGGGUUGUAAACUUCUUUUAUAGGGGACGAAGAAAGGGCAUUCUUGCUCACUUGACGGUACCCUAGGAAUAAGCACCGGCUAACUCCGUGCCAGCAGCCGCGGUAAUACGGAGGGUGCAAGCGUUAUCCGGAUUUACUGGGUUUAAAGGGUGCGUAGGUGGGUUGGUAAGUCAGUGGUGAAAUCUUCGAGCUUAACUCGGAAACUGCCAUUGAUACUAUCAAUCUUGAAUCAUCUAGAGGUAAGCGGAAUAUGUCAUGUAGCGGUGAAAUGCUUAGAUAUGACAUAGAACACCAAUUGCGAAGGCAGCUUACUAUGGAUGUAUUGACACUGAGGCACGAAAGCGUGGGGAUCAAACAGGAUUAGAUACCCUGGUAGUCCACGCCCUAAACGAUGGAUACUCGACAUUUGUGAUAUACUAUAAGUGUCUGAGCGAAAGCAUUAAGUAUCCCACCUGGGAAGUACGACCGCAAGGUUGAAACUUAAAUGAAAUUGACGG
rnacentral:rRNA from 1 species